GACGAACGCUGGCGGCGUGCUUAACACAUGCAAGUCGAACGCUGAAGCUCAGCUUUUGUUGGGUGGAUGAGUGGCGAACGGGUGAGUAACACGUGAGUAACCUGCCCCCUUCUUUGGGAUAACGCCCGGAAACGGGUGCUAAUACUGGAUAUUCACUGGUCUUCGCAUGGGGGUUGGUGGAAAGGGUUUUUCUGGUGGGGGAUGGGCUCGCGGCCUAUCAGCUUGUUGGUGGGGUGAUGGCCUACCAAGGCUUUGACGGGUAGCCGGCCUGAGAGGGUGACCGGUCACAUUGGGACUGAGAUACGGCCCAGACUCCUACGGGAGGCAGCAGUGGGGAAUAUUGCACAAUGGGCGCAAGCCUGAUGCAGCGACGCCGCGUGAGGGAUGGAGGCCUUCGGGUUGUGAACCUCGUUCGCUCAUGGUCAAGCCGCAACAAUGGUUGUGGUGAGGGUAGUGGGUAAAGAAGCGCCGGCUAACUAC
rnacentral:rRNA from 1 species